rnacentral:tRNA from 1 species
GGAGAGGUGCUGGAGUGGACGAUCAGGCGCGCCUGGAAAGCGCGUAUCCCGGGCAACUGGGAUCGUGGGUUCGAAUCCCACCCUCUCCGCCA